UAAAAGUAUCGAUGACAAUAUAGUAAUAACAUCAAAGUAAUUUAAAGGGGUUAUUAAGGAUAACUAGCAAAUUUAUAAAAAAGGAGGUGUAAGCCAAAAGCCACAAAUUCAAUAAACUUAAUGUAAAUAUUAUUAAUAAUAAUUAUAUAAGCUUGAAUAAAAAAUAAUGUGGCGAUCCUAAGGGAAACCUUUAUAUAAAAACUUCCUGAAGCAAAUCAUUCUAGUAAGGAAAGGAAAGGAAAUCAACCGAGACUCCGAAAGUAAUGGUGAGUGAAAUCGGAUUAGCCUAGUAAAAAUUAUAAAUUGAAAAUCUAUCAAUAUUUAUGUCACAAUAAAUAGAUAUAACUAGAAAAGGUGAAAGUCCUGUAGAUUUAUAAUCAAACUAAAUAAUAAGUACGAUGAGAGAAAACUUGUCGGAAUAAAGGGGAACCAUCCUCUAAGGCUAAGUAUUAUAAAUUUAGCAAUAGCGAAAAGUACUGUAAAGGAAAGUUUGAAAAGUAUUGUAUUAACAUAGUGAAAUAGACUUGAAUUAGUAACCCUAUAAGCAGUCGAAGUUUUAAUAAUAAAAUGACGGCGUACCUUUUGCAUAAUGGGUCAGCAAGUUAAUAGGAAUAGCAAGGUUUAAAGCCCUAGCGAAAGCGACUGGACUGACUAGCUUAAUUAAAUAAAAUAAUUAAGAAUUUUUAUUUAUAAUUUAUCGUAAAAUUAGCAUUGUAACAAUAGUUUUGUGUUUAGAAACCUAUUAUGAAAAUAAUAAGGAUAGCUAAGCACCUAGGCUAGGUAAACUAGUAAGGCUAUAGAAACAUGUGAAAGUGAAAAUAUUUUAUAAAUAAAAGUAAGAUAUUACCUUACAAAAUAAGCUAAUAUUGCCUAGGAAAUAGUGAUGGAUAAGUUACUUCUAUUAGACCCGAAGCAAGGUGAUCUUUCCAAGACCAGAUUAUAAUGGAUCGAACGGGUGAAUGUUGCAUAAUUCUCCGAAGAGUUUUGGAAAGCGGUGAAAUGCCAAUCUGACCUUGUGCUAGCUGGUUUUCUACGAAACAUAUGUAAGUAUGACAUCUAUACAAAAUUUAUGGAGGUACAGCACGGCAAUUCCCAACAAAUCAUAGAAUUUAUUCUAUGAGGCGUUUAGGUUGCGGGGGCCUCGAAAAUCUUACCAAUGGAAGCGAAUCUCGGAAGUACAUAAAUUGAUGGUAGAUAUUCAGACUGCUCAUGCUAAGUUGGGUAGUCAAGACGGAAACAGCCGAGAACACGAAAUCAAGGUCCCAAAUGAUUAUUAAGUGAAAUUAAGGAAGUAACAAAUUGAAUGCAGCUGUAAAGUGAGCCUGGUAGUCGCUAUCUUUUAAUGACCGUUGUAACAACGUAGCAGCCCUUCAAUCACUCUAUUUAAUUUAUAAAUGGAAUGAUGAAUAAGAUUGUAGCGCCGAAAAUUUAACGGGUCUAAAUAAUCAACCGAUAUCGUGUUGAUUAAGAAUUUAUUAAUAUUUAUUCUUAAUCUAGGUAGUAGAACAUUCAGUAAUACUGAUGAUAGAACAGUGUUUCAUUGUUUUAAGGUAACUGAAGAGAUAAUGCUGACAUGAGUAACGUAAAAAGAAGUUAUAAUACUUCUCGCCGAAUACGAAAGGGUUAUGAGAAAAGGUUGAACCGUCUCAUGUUAAUGCGGCCUCUAAGGUCCAAAACCAAAGUUUUGGCUGAUGAGUAAUUUACUGAAAGUCCAAAUCAAUAUUUAUUUAAUAUUUUUAUUAUUUAAAUAGCCAUUAUGCUAUAUUUUAGCGUAUAGGUGGACCAGGAAAAUAAUGUAUUACUUAUUUUUAAUUAUUAUUAAACUUUAAUAUUUAAUUAAUAUAAGUAUUUCUACCGUACCCUAAACCGACACAGGUUCGUAAGUAGAGAAUACUAAGGCGAAGAGCUAAAAGUUGUUAAGGAACUCGGCAAGUUCUCCUCAUAAGUUUGACGAUAAGAGGAACCACUUGUCAUAUAAAUAUGGUAUGGUGGUGUCACAAAAUCGGAGGCCCCGACUGUUUACUAAAAACACAAUUCAGAGCAAUGAUGAAAAUCAUAGUAUUCUGGAUGAAAUUUGCCCGAUGCCAUUAACAUAAAAGAGGUAAUGGGAAACUGUUACUAAUUGAAAGUCUGGUUAAUAGCGGUCUUAACUAUGAGGAUCCUAAGGUAGCAAAAUCAGUUGGCCAUUAAAUGUGGUCUGGUAUCAAUAGUGUAACGAUGGUCUCACUGUCUCUACAACUUGCUCAGUGAAAUUGAAUUAUCCGUGCAGAUGCGGAUUGCCUCCAGGUGGACGGGAAGACCCUAUGCAGCUUUACUGUAGUUAGUUAUCACAUUGAUCUACAACAACCUUUAGUUAAUAGAAAAUAGGAGUGUCGAUAGAAAAUCGUUAUAGAUUUGGAAGCCUUAAAACUGGGUUGGGUCUAUGUUUACCUUAUAAUUUAUAAUUAAAGGGAUAGUUGACUAAUUGGCAGUUUGACUGGGGCGGUCGUCUUUAAUAAAGUAGCAAAGUACAUCCAAAUAUUUAUAUUUUAUUUCAAUAAUAAAUAUUAUUAAUUUAAUUCUAAAUCAAUUAAAUCUAAUAAUAUCCAGACAGAAAAUAAAAUUUUAAACAAAUUUUUAAUAUAUAUAAUAAUUCUUUAAUUUCAAAAGGUAUAGCUAGAAAUUGAAUGGAGAUCAAUUAACCAGUGAACGGUUAUGCAGAGUGUAAAGGCGGAAAGCAUGCCUAACUGAAAGACCUAGAAGUCGCACAGAUACGUAAGUAGGGCUUAGUGACCCCUCGCUAUAUUAUGGAAUAGACGGGGAUCAAUCGAUAAAAGUUACGCUAGGGAUAGAAUGUUGUCCCUUUACUUAGAAAUAAGUAAGAAACAACUGGGUGAAUUGCAAGGAAAACUUUGUUAUAGUGAUCAGGCUAUAUAAAAUUAAAUUCAGGCUAUAUAAAAUUCAGGCUAUAUAAAAUUCAGGCUAUAAUUAACAAAGUCAAUUUGCAGCCAAGCUUACCUUAGCAAUAAAAUAUUUUAAUAUUUAAUAAGAGGUAUGAAGGUUCAACGACUAGAAAGUGAGUAAGCUAACAAUAAUCUUUCCAAGAGCGCCCAGCAUCUUAAUUAAAUCAUUAUAUUCAAAGUCCUAAAGGAUUUAAAUUUUUAUUAAAAAAUGUCAUUUUUAACAAAUUAUUGUUACUUAAUUCAAGUCCUAACAGCAAAAGACUUAAAGAAUAUAAAAAAACAUUAAAAUCUUUAAAUCAAAUCCAAUGGGAAACAUCAAUUGGAUUAAUGUUAGGUGAUGCAAGUAUUCAAACUCAAAAUAAAGGUAAAACUUAUAGAUUGAAAUUCGAAUGGAGUGAUAAAAAUAAACCUUAUCUGGAUCAUGUAUACGAUUUAUUUGAUGAAUGGGUAAUAUCAUUCCCUCAUAAAAAAUCUAGAUUUAGUCCUAAAGGAAACUUAGUAGUUACUUGGGGUUUCCAAACUAUAAGUCAUGAAGCAUUUAAUCCCUUAGCUGAAUUAUUUAUUAUAAAUAAUAAAAAAAGUAUUAAAGAUUUAUUAAUCAAAGAUUAUUUAACAGCAAGAGGAUUAGCUUAUUGGUUUAUGGAUGAUGGAGGUAAACUAGAUUAUAAUAUUAAUUCUAAAAAUAAAUCUCUAGUUCUUAAUACUCAAAGUUUUACAGAAUUAGAAGUUAUUAAAUUAGCAAGUGAAUUAACAGAUAAAUUUAAAUUAAGUAUUCAUAUUAGAACUAAUAAAGGUAAAAAAAUAAUUGUUAUUAACAGUGAAAGUUUUAUUUUAUUUAGAGAACUAAUAAAUCCUUAUAUCAUUCCUCAAAUGAGAUAUAAAUUACCAAAUUUGUAAUGAAAUUUUAUCUUUAAGUAGAUAAUAUUUAACUUUAACCCCUUUCGAAUAGGGAGGCUUAAAAUAAUGAAUUUAACAGAUGAUGACAUAGUCUGAACCAUUUAGUGAUAAAUGGAAAUAAAGGAUAAAUAGCCUUUAUGAUAACAAAUAAUUGAACAGGCUGAUAGCCGGCGAGAGUACACAUUGUCCCGGCUGUUUGGCACCUUAAUUAUAUUGUUAAUACAACAAUAAAAAUUCUAAUCUUGAUACUAGUUUACAUAUUAAAAAGGUGCUAAUGAUGUAACUUAUGAUAGAAUCUACAUAAAAAAAAGAUUCUUUAGAAAUCAUUAAACCUUCUUUAAAGGAACAUAUGCAUGAUUCUAUGCUUUAUAAAAUAAAUGAAAGUUCUAUUGUGAACGCAGCAAAUUUAGAUCUAGAUCUUGAAUUAGAUAUGGAUAUAGAUUUAGAUAUAAUGGAUACAGGUAUAAUAGAUAUAGAAUCAAUCAUCGGGGGAUUUUAAUAGUAAUAUUAACUUAGAAGUUGGCUAUAUGCUGGAACAUCCUUAGAGCUUUCAAUACUAAUUCUUUUUAUAUUAUUAGUGAAAAUUUGAAAGAUUGGACAAUCAGCAGGGAAGUUUUCAAAUUUAGGCAAUAGCAGCCGUAGAUUUGCUAACCCCUCAACGAUCACACGCCAACAUCCAGUGCUAAACCAAUAUACUCUUGGUUCUGGAUGAAGAUAUGAUCUAAACUUAACUGAAAGGUUAAGAGUAUAAAUGCGAUGUCGACUCAUCCUAUCCUCCCGGGGAAGAAGCUGGGAAGGGUUCGGCUGUUCGCCGAUUAAAAGGGUACGCGAGUUGGGUUUAAUUUAACAAAUAAAUAAAAACGUCGGUUGUAUAACAUAACAAAAUAAAUAAAACGUCGGAGAUUUCAAAUAAAAGAAGUAUUAAGUUUAACAACUUAAAUCUCGAUAGCCUUAGACACUAUAAAAUAUUAAAAUAACAGAUGAAAUCUAAUACAAAAUUUUUACCUGGAAAUCUUCAUUCUAUUUUGAUUGGAUUAAUGUUAGGUGAUGGUCAUAUUUACAAAACUUCUACAACUAGUAAUAGUAGAUUUGAAAUAAGUUUUGGUAAAGAUAGAGAACUAUUUGCUGAUUGGAUAAGUAAUUUAUUUAAAGAUUAUUCAAAUACAGGAUUAAGAUUAAUUUCAAUUAAAGUUAGUGGUUUAUUCUGCUUACAUUUUAAUUAUAGAUUUAAACUAAAACUUUACCUAUUUUUAAUUAUUAUCAUAAUAUCUUCUAUGAAGCUAAUAAUGAAUCAUGGAAAUAUAAAAAAAUUGUACCUCAUAAUAUUUUGGAUCUUAUGAACUCUACUGUUUUAGCUUAUUUAAUAAUGACUGAUGGAAAUUUCGAUAAAACUAGAAAUAGAAUAAGAAUUUAUACAAAUAGUUAUCCAAAAGCAGAUGUAGAAAGAUUAGCUGAAGCUAUUAAUAAAAAUUUAAAUAUUUAUGUAGGAGUAUUACAUGAUAGAAAAGAUCAAUAUAUUUUAACGAUAGGAGCUAAACAAUUAAAUUUAUUAAGAGAAAUUGUAAGUCCUCAUUUUGAACCAAGUAUGUUAUACAGAAUAGGAAUAGAAAAAUAGUCUAUUCCUAACGAUUAAAUUAUUUUAUAAUUUAUAAGCCCCCUUCUGUUUAUUAAAAAUAAUACAAAAGGAAAACCGGAGAAAUUGCAAGGAACACUGAUAAUUCAGUCAAUUUGCAGCCGAGCUUGAAUAGAGUGAGCGGAUAAAAUAAAUAUUCGAAAUAUCAAGAAGGUUCAACGACUAACAGGUGAGAAUCACUAUCAAUAAGCCUGACACGAACUUCCGGCAUUAAUAAAAUUUAUUAAUGAUGACAUAGUCUGAACAGUAGCGUGAGUUACUGAAGUAAUGAUAAAGAGCAUUACGAUAACACAUUGUUAAUACGACGUGAGUCAGUAUGGUCCCUAUCUUCUGGAGGGACAAAUAGUAAAAGGAGGCAGACCUUCUAGUACGAAAGGAUCAAUAGGCUGUGUUUCUCUAGUGUACCAAUUGUUGAAGUUUUAAUUUAAUUAUUUAUUAUUUAAGUUUUAUUUUUAAUUAAAUAUUAUUUAAAGAUUUUUAAUUAGAUAAAAUCAGUAAGCAUAGUUGGGUAGCCACAAACAUAAUAGAUAAGCGCUGAAUGUAUAUAAAGCAAGAAUCUAACCUCUGGAUACUAUCAAUAGUUUGCCUAGGUCUCUUUUUUAAUGGGCCUUAGGUACACUCCUCCUUUUUUUUUAUUUUUAUCACUCCCUUGGCAUCUUAGAUUAAGGUGUUAAAGCGC
rnacentral:rRNA from 1 species